UACGUAGGGGGCAAGCGUUGUCCGGAUUUAUUGGGCGUAAAGAGCGUGUAGGCGCCAGACAGGUCUGCUGUGAAAACUCGAGGCUCAACCUCGAGACACCGGUGGAAACCGUCUGGCUAGAGUCCGGAAGAGGAGAGUGGAAUUCCUGGUGUAGCGGUGAAAUGCGCAGAUAUCAGGAAGAACACCCGUGGCUAAGGCGGCUCUCUAGUACGGUACUGACGCUGAGACGCGAAAGCGUGGGGAGCAAACAGG
rnacentral:rRNA from 1 species